AACAAGAACUGUUGAUAAAACAAGAGUUGAUCGCUCUUGUCAAAGUGAAUCCUGCUUUAUAUGCAAAAAAUUGGAAAGAAUAUGCUGGAAUAAAUUUUUGCAAAGAUUUAGCUUGGGAGAGCAUUGGAUUUAAUUUGUCAAAAAAAAUGUCAGGAAAAGAUGCUGCAAAGAUGUGAUAUAAUAUUCGUCAGCGAUUUGGUAAAGAAAGGCGGAAAGUCGUAACAUCUCUUAAAGGAAAAUCUGGGCAAGGAACAAAACCCGUGUAUGUGCCAAAAUGGAAAUUUUACGAUCUAUGUUUAUUCUUGGUAGACCAUAUCACACCUCGAAAAACUGUCAGUAAUUACACGUCAAAGAAUGUGAAAAAUACCACAACUAUUGGAAAAAUUUCUCCUUCUCCGAUAUUUAUUCUGCCUUCACCAUCACUUUCUCCAUUAUCUGCACCAAGAUCAAUACCUCCACAAGCAUUAUCUCCACAAGUACCAUCUUCACAAAUAUUGUCUUCACAAUUACUAUCUUCACAAAUACUGU